CUGCAGCACGCACGGAGCAGCGUGUCCUCCUGGGAGCGGGCGGAGCGAGCCGGCCCUCCCUGCUCGCAGCGCCCCCGCCCUGCAUUUUCCCAGUGGACGGGGCGGCACCGUGCCCGCCUCCAGGGCCACGGCCUCUCCGGCCUCUCCGGAGUCCCUCUCCCUCAGGCCUCUAGCUCGCCGCGGUAGUUGGGGGCCGCCCUCCUCCCGCCGGGUCCACCGUGUCUCCGCUCUGCAUGCUGUCGCCCUCCUGUGGCAGGAACCAACCUCGGGACGGGCAGGCGGGGUUACCCCGCGGGCGUCCCGGGGACAGGAGGGCAUGUCAUCGCCUCAGUGUCCCCCCGUGGCUCUUGGGCUCCUUCCUUGCCCUCUCAGGGUGCGCAGCCUCCAUUGCGGUCUCGGCACUGGUCUCCAGAAUUGUAUCUUUACCCAAACCUUCCUCCUGCACCCCAAACCCAUAUUCAGCUGCAACCCAGCCCUCUUCUGGGGGUCCUCAAAUUCAAGAGCGCAUAGAAAUGGGAACCCCUCAUCCCCUUCUCCUCCAGUGCCCUGCCGACGCUGCGACUGCUCCCGCUCACCCUGAGCCCAAGUCCCACCCCCGCAUUCAGCUCUCUGCUUCUCUCUCUCCCCUCCCUUCUGCCCUGGUCCCACGACUUCUUGCCUCCUGACUGUACCCACCUCUCACCUCCCAUUUUGCUUCUAGUCUAUUCUCCACGGAGCAGCAGUCUCGAGUCUCGCAUGCACUUUAUCCUGCGUGGUGGUGCUGGCCUUACCCCCAGGAGAUACUCCCACUACCACCUUUGUACCUGCGCCCCCCAAGGGCCAGGAUAAGGAGCCCAACCUUGUCCUGAGGACAGGGGUGGGUCACAGAAGGUUUGUAAAGUCUUGACUAUCGAUUUUAUACAAGUCCUAUAUGCCCAAUGUAUUAUCAGGGUUUUGGAUUAUGCACAAUAAAAACAAAUUUUAUGCAAUUUAAGCAGAUGGAAAGUAUUGGAAGGAUAUCCAGUAGCUGGAGAUCUGCCUUGGAAAGCGGCAGAAAUGAGAGAAAGCAGAGGACACAGGCAAUGUCAGACCCAGAAAAAGCCUGGCUAGGAUGUCCCUGUCACUGGAGGCGCUCUCAUUGUCAGGGAGCAGGGGGGUGUCUGCCCCCCUCCUUCCCCCGUUGUGUGAAGUGGGCUCCCACGGAAUUCUCCAGAGCGGCACCUGACCUUACCAGGUAGGAGUCCGGAGGCUUCAGCAGGCCAGUCCCGUCUUCUCUAAGGCCAGCUGCUCUGUGGGACGUGGACUAAGACGAGCUGGGCCCUGCUGCAUCACCUCUUUCUGUAUGAGGUGGGUCCCCAGCCCAGAGGCCAGGCCUGUGCACACGGGGUCCGCAGUUCUGUGCAGAUGGCGGCACGGGCCAAUGAGCAGGCAUGAGCAGCCAACCCGGCAGGAACCUCGAUUUCAGCCAGAAUAAACAGUGUCCGCUUCACAAUGGAAGGUGUCAAAUAGGACUGCUCUGCUCGGGGCUGGGGACCCGGAGGUUGAGGACGUGUACCACAGCCACUCUGUUCACAGGCCUGUGCAUAAGCACUGAGUGGCUGAGGAGAGAGGCUGGCCAACGUCCAUAGGGCAGUUGUGAUGUCCACCUGGGUGUCCAAUGCCUCCUCUGCAGUGGACUCCCUGGAUGUCUCUGUGAGACGCAGAGCUGGCCCCAUGUGCUUGAUGGUCCUGAGCCUGCCCCCACCGCAGGUCCUCGCGUGUCCUUUCCCAGCCUGCCUGUCACCAUUGUUCCAGUCUUGUUCAUUUCAGGCUCCUGAUGCACCAGCCAAGCCUUUCUCCAAUAUCCUGGAGUCAGUUUAUCGGCACACUGCAGGCCGUUCUUCCCAUCCCUAGGAAGUGAAUUACCAGGUGCCCCUGGGGGAUCUCCCUCCACUGCUGUCCUUCAGGACCUCCGGAGAGAAGAGCUGUCAUGUGGCAGUGAGCCCGAUCACACGCCAGGAGCUCUUCUCCAAACCAAGAGGAGUGUUCUGCCACAGAAGGUACGGCCUUGCUCUGUAACCCAGGGUCUGCUGCGGCUCUGCGCAGAGGCUCCACACAGCAUCCUUCCUGCCUGCAAGGAUCUUCAGCACCCCAGACCUGCUGAUCAUGGGGUCCCGGCAGCAUGACGGUGCCCGCCUCAGCCAGAACGUCUGGGCCCUGCUGGAGCCAUUAGCCUUCAGGGCCUCUCAGGAAGCGGGGUGGAGUGGUAGUCCCAAGGACCGGAUGUGCUGCUCUCCAGUCCUGAGACCGGCCGAGCACUGGGCCUGUUUGCUGAUGGAAGGAGGCACAAGGCUCAACAAUUUAUCUCUUGCCUUAGGAUGUCCUAGCAUAUCCCAGAUCUGUGAACCCUAAAACUUCAUCAGGAUGCUUUCUCUCCCACCCUCUGGAACUCCCCGGAUCAGGGAGAUGUCAAGAUGGUCUAGAUUCCUGUAUUAGUUUCCUGUAGCUGCUGGAACAAUUAACACACAUUUACUGUCUUAAAACAAUGCAAAUUUAUUCUCUCGCAGUAACAUAGGUUAGCAGGAGGACACAGGCCUCAGUGGCUUACGUCAAGGACUCAGCAAGCCUGCGAUCCUUCUGGAAGCUCUAGAGGAGCAUCUGUUUCCUUGGCCUUUUCCAGCUUCUAGAGGCCACCCACAUUCCUUGGCUCAUGGCCCCUUCCUCCAUCUUCAAAGUCAGCAUCUCUCUGACCUGCUUCCAAAUUCACAGCUCUCUCUGAGUCUCCUGCCUCCCUCUUCCGCUCUGAAGGACCCUUGUGAUUACAUUGGACCUACCCAGAUCACCCAGGAUGAUCUCCCUAUUUCAAGGCUACACGGCCACUGUGGCCCAAGGGCUCUGCUCCAGGACCCAGACCAACAGCGGAGCUGUUACAUCUCUUAAAGGCUAUCGAGUUCCCUCAAAUUAGCACCUUUUGUUACUCUCUUCACUGUGGGUCUCCUGCUGCUGAAUCCUCUUGUGAAAUGAAUGAGAAACCUCAAGUAAACUGGAGUCGGGGAGGCCUAUGGGGAGCUCUCACCCCAUCACACAUGUCAAUCACACCAACCAGGAAGAGAAGGGCACUUGCAUCUCCCACAGGAAGUGCAACUACUUUACUACUGAAGGAAGAUUUCUCUCUCCAUCCAGCAGCAGCUCAGCCAAUGGGAAAUGCCACAGCUCAGCCAAUGAGAAACACCACAGCUCAGCCAAUGAGAAAUGCUU